rnacentral:rRNA from 1 species
GACGAAUGCUGGCGGCGUGCUUAACACAUGCAAGUCGAACGGAAAGGCCCUGCUUUUGUGGGGUGCUCGAGUGGCGAACGGGUGAGUAACACGUGAGUAACCUGCCCUUGACUUUGGGAUAACUUCAGGAAACUGGGGCUAAUACCGGAUAGGAGCUCCUGCUGCAUGGUGGGGGUUGGAAAGUUUCGGCGGUUGGGGAUGGACUCGCGGCUUAUCAGCUUGUUGGUGGGGUAGUGGCUUACCAAGGCUUUGACGGGUAGCCGGCCUGAGAGGGUGACCGGCCACAUUGGGACUGAGAUACGGCCCAGACUCCUACGGGAGGCAGCAGUGGGGAAUAUUGCACAAUGGGCGGAAGCCUGAUGCAGCAACGCCGCGUGCGGGAUGAAGGCCUUCGGGUUGUAAACCGCUUUCGCCUGUGACGAAGCGUGAGUGACGGUAAUGGGUAAAGAAGCACCGGCUAACUACGUG